AAAGAGAUUUCGCAAUCGAGUCCUCUCCAUGUUCUAAACAAACCGAGUCAGAUCUGCCAGAGAGACGAGUUAAACUCACUAAAGUCACCUUUAAACUCACCUGUUCUACCUGGACCGGCUCUGCUCUCACGGAUGGUUACCUCCGCCGCCGCCACGGGAAGGCUCCGUUGAGGCGACCAAUCUUCUGCUUCCUGUCCCCGUUUCCUCUGCACUCCUGAGUCCACUCAGAGAUCAGCACCUGAAGGCAGCACAUCCAAAUGAGCCGGCCGUCGCAGGCGAAACUAACCACAUUCGACCACAACGGCGUGAGCGUCAUCCAGAGUCAGGCCCACGCCGCCGCCGCUUCGUCCUCGUCCGUCGCCGGACUGCAACAAGUCCCCCAGCUCGUCCCCGCCGACCCUUCAGCCGGAGGCGGUAAGGCCCUCUCCCCCAGAGAGAUGAAGAAACCCCACGCGGAGAAGGACAGCGACGAGUACCGCCAGCGCCGCGAACGCAACAACCUGGCGGUGAAGAAGAGCCGCAUGCGCAGCAAGCAGAAGGCGCAGGACACGCAGCAGCGCGUCAACGAGCUGAAGGAGGAGAACGAGCGGCUGGAGGCCAAAAUCAAACUGCUGAGCAAAGAGCUGAGCGUGCUCAAAGACCUCUUCCUGGAGCACGCUCACAACCUGGCCGACAACGUCCAGCCGCCCGCCGGCGCCGAGGGCUCCAGCCCCGCCCCCAACAACGCCUCCACUAACGGGCAGUGAGGGGGCGGAACCACGGGGAUCUUUAUCAGCCCGCUGCAGCUUUUCUGGAAGCUUCUGUCACUUUGGGAACACGGCCUCACUUCUUCUUCUUCUUCUACUUCUUCUUCUUCACGCUCCUCAGAUUCAACCCCGUCUGCAAAAAGAUUUCCCACAAUCCUCCUGGAGAAGUUUUAAAGUUUAGAUUUUGAUACCAGAGCUGGAGAUGAUCUGAUGAUCUGAUGACCUGAUGAUCUGAUGAUCCCGUCAGGAGGAGACGUUUUAGAACAUCAGACAUUUGUUUUAAUAUAAUGAAUCAGACUCAGUCCAGUUGAGACUCUACAGGCUGGAAGAGAGAACCAGUUUGUGUCGGUCAGAUCCAUGAAAACGUUUUGGACUUUGAUGCUGAACAGACUCCGGCAUCAUGUGAGGAGCCAACAGGAUCCAACAGUCACACGUUAUUGAUCCAUUGAUUGAUGGAUUGAUUGAUUAGAGGAAUGAGAGGAGCUCCUACAUAUGGACAUGUGGACCAGCGAGCGUCUGUAGGAGCUCCUCCUUAUACCAGUCUGGACCUGUCAGAGUCCGGCGGUCUGGACCUGUCAGAGUCCGGCGGUCUGGACCUGUCAGAGUCCGGCGGUCUGGACCUGUCAGAGUCCGGCGGUCUGGACCUGUCAGAGUCCGGCGGUCUGGAUGGAGAUGUGUAAAUUGUUGAAUUCCCUUUUUCAGGAUGUGUAUUUUCUUCUGUUAAAAUGUUUCGUUAACAAAAUGUGAUGAGAGAAGGUUUUAUGUUCACUACAUGUUCUGGUUCCAAGGCCCGGGCCUGCUCAGAGGUUCAGCUCAGAGGUUCAGCUCAGAGGUUCAGCUCAGAGGUUCAGCUCAGAGGUUCAGCUCAGAGGUUCAUCCAUCAGUCUGUGUUUCUACUGAAAUGAAGAGAGUCAACUCUUGUAACUCUUCAGUGAGCAGACGAGGCUGCAGCUCUCAGGUCGCCCCGGCUGCUGUACAGACUCUAGGUAACAGCAGGAUUAUCCUCCUUCAGGGGUUGAGUUGAGUUUCACCCGUUUAGGAACCGACCUGGGUCGACCCGUCCGAUCUGUGGCCGAGAGAUCUGCAGGUGAACUCACCUGUCGCCCGACACCAGAGCUCACUGAAGCUUCUAAAGAAUAAAGAGAAACAACAACACGUUGCAACGUGCAGCAAAACCCUCCCACACAUCACUAAAUCAAUUCAUAUUAGUGCACGUGUCAAAGUUCAUGUGAUAAUAUGGCCUUGUUUUAACUCCACAUUAACAUCUGGAUUCAGUGUGUUGUUGUCCAACGGGUGUUACUGCUGCAGCCAAUAAUCAAUACGGCUGAUUAAUCUAUCAGUUCUGGUGAUGAUUCAUCUUUAAGUCUUCACCGUGAUGAUCAAUCAUCAUCAGAACAGCAGCUGAUGAUUGAUCAUGCUGAUCAACUAAUCAAUCAUUUCAUUUAAUUUAUUUCAUAUUUAUUUAAUCAGUCCGUCUAAUUGAGAACACAACUACACAAUAAACAGGAAUUAAAACAACUACACAAUUAACAGGAAUUAAAACAACUACACAAUAAACAGGAAUUAAAACAACUACACAAUUAACAGGAAUUAAAACAACUACACAAUAAACAGGAAUUAAAACGACACAAUAAACAGGAAUUAAAACAACUACACAAUAAACAGGAAUUAAAACAACUACACAAUUAACAGGAAUUAAAACGACACAAUAAACAGGAAUUAAAACCAGUAAAUCCAUCUGAUAAUGAAGCUGUAAAAUGAAUAACAUGUUAAAUAGACUCCUCCAGUCUGCUUCAUAUAUUCAUAUAUACAUAUAUAUGUGUAUAUAUAUAUAUAUAUAUAUAUAUAUAUAUAUAGUGUGUAAAGAGAUGUUUCAGUGGAGCUGAAACCAACAACCAUCACUGAUCCCUCUCUCUCCAGACAAGCUCCUCUUCUAGCUUUUAAAGUGGAAAUAAUAAUAACAAUUAAUAAUUUAAUAACCGUCUGAAACUGAAAGAUGAAUUAGCUCUUAUUAUUGAUCAGCUGACUGAUUAUUAAUAUCAUAUUAUAACUGGCCACAGGUGAGACGGUCGUACCCAGGUUGUGAGAUGUGUGUGUGUGUGUGUGUGUGUGUGUGUGUGUGUGUGUGUGUGUGUGUGUGUGUGUGUGUGUGUGUGUGUGUGUGUGUGUGUGUGUGUGUGUGUGUGUGUGUGUGUGUGUGUGUGUGUUGCUGGGCGGAUCCAGACACCUCACCUGGAUCAGACAGCUUUAAUGAAACCCGCUCUGAAACGGGGCCGGGUCCUUAAUGAGGUCUGAGCAGAUCUGGACAGGCCCCCUCGGCUGCGGCGGCGUGUUGUUGUUGUCACACUUUAUAAUAAUGAUGAGCUUUGUGUGGGCGUGGACUGUUUGUCUGUCAGGAGCUUCACAACCGCCCUGCAGGAAUGUUGUUGACUGUCUGAGUCCUGCUGCUCCACCAACGCUCCACCAACGCUCUCACAACGCUCAGCACAACGCUCCACCAACGCUCAGCACAACGCUCCACUAACUAACUUGGUAAAAAUUUGAGUCAGUAUCAGACCAAUAUCUGAUCCGGUAUCGGUUCAACCCGAACGUUUUCUAUCAUUGAUCAUCUCGAUAUAACUGUCAUACCGGUUCGUACCGGCUCGUACCGGUUCGUACCGGUUCGCACCGGUUCGCACCGGUUCGCACCGGUUCGCACCGGUUCCUGUUGUGACCGGCUCUCCUGCUGGAUCCUGACUGGUUCUGUGGAUGUUGUGAUCAUGUUCUGACUGACUGAUGUGGAUUCAGGCUGAUAUCAAUAUUUGAUACUGAAGACGAAAUAUCAGAUAAAUAUUUGUUUUGUUUACAGUUUGAACGCUGUGGGAACGUUGUGGGAACGCUGUGAGAACGCUGUGGGAACGCUGUGGGAACGCUGUGGGAACAUUGUGGGAACGCUGUGGGAACGUUGUGGGAACGCUGUGGGAACGCUGUGGGAACGCUGUGAGAACGCUGUGGGAACGCUGUGGGAACGCUGUGGGAACGCUGUGAGAACGCUGUGGGAACGUUGUGGGAAUGUUAUGGGAACGCUCACCGGGGCCGCCGCCGGGCACAGCCGCCGGGCGCAGCCUCCAUCUUUUUCACUUUUCUAUGGUGUUUUUUCUACUGGUUCUUCCAGCAGCAUGUUUGUAGAGAAGUCUUUGCAUGAGGUCUCUGAGGUCUGCAGACUGUUACUGUUCCCUCCUCUGAUGGGAUGUCUGCUCUGAAUGUUGCUGGGCAGCAUUUCUCUGUCGUCGCUCAGCUUUUUUUAUAUCCGAGGAAUCUGGGGUCACGUGCAUUGUAAAUUAAAAUUGAGUAUAAAAGUUCAAA